rnacentral:misc_RNA from 1 species
UCCGGUUUGUCACCGGCGGUCUCCUUAGAGUUCCCACCAUUACGUGCUGGCAACUAAGGACAAGGGUUGCGCUCGUUGCGGGACUUAACCCAACAUCUCACGACACGAGCUGACGACAGCCAUGCAGCACCUGUGUUCGAGUUCCCGAAGGCACCAAUCCAUCUCUGGAAAGUUCUCGACAUGUCAAGGCCAGGUAAGGUGGGGAUGACGUCAAGGUACGGAC